AUUCAAAUAGCUUAAAUUUAAAGCGUGAUAUUGAAGAUAUCAAUAUAAGUUUUUUACUUUUUGAAUA
rnacentral:tRNA from 1 species